GGGGAGACUGUCUGUCGACAUGCUGAUGGACAGGUGAACCCGACUCACUUUUCAAGAUGUCCUCUGGGACGCUGUCUGGUGGAUCUGCAGCAGCUGAGUGGAGGACGGUCAGAGUAGCCAGCAGAACAGUCCAGCCCAGCAGGAGCUUCAUGAUGUCCCAGUCAGAGAGCGGUGGACACACUGAGGGGAGGGACAACACGAGGGACACACUGAGGGGAGGGACAACACCAGCACUCGUCAACAGAGAUCCACAUUUUCUACCCUAAUUGCUUUUGCCUGACCGUCUCCCUCUGAGUGAUGGAGCGAGGCCAGAAGGCAGGCCUCCAAAGCCCAGCCACAUGAACUCCAGAGUUCCCGGCCUUCGUAGAAUGCCCUUCUCUACAUUGAAAACGACUCCAGGCAGUUUGCUGGCGCUCUCUCAUGCAGGAAGUUGAUCAUUCACUGUACUUUCUUUGACUUGGAGCUGAAAGGAGAGCACAUUAGUGGCCAGCUGGUUGUGCUGAAGCUGAGCCAGACUGAUAAGCUGCUGUAAUCAUGCAGGUUGCCGUCCUCCACACCUCCACUCCUCUGCGUCACAUCAGGGUUCAGUACUGCUCCUCUGUGGAGGAGAACCUCCUUCUGCUCACAGUGGACAAUGUGGGACCGUUUUGUUCCCUUGACUUUUAGAAUGUUAAUUUAUACCAGAAAGAUAAAGAUGCAUUUGAUUAUUAUUCACUCAGUAACUGGCUGCUAUACAAACACCACACUGCUCUGUCCAUGAAGGAAGAGCUGAAGACGAAGAAAACACACGUUUUACACCUGUUUGUUGGUAAAAACAGACACAGCUGUUCAUUGAUGUUGUUUGAUGAAAAUCAGAAUUUGAACAUGAUUGAUAUAGAGGAAACGUGAUUGUGAUUUGUCAAUUGGAUCUUUUCUGGCCCCUCAAUAUGUCAGGUUUUUUUAUGCUUCUCACUGGGGCUGUCCGGGCCUCCAGCGGAGACAUCUCCCCACCGACUACAGCAGGUUGGACCAGUCGGUGUCCGGCUGACUUCAACGUUCAGACAGCUGCCAGCGACAGGAGGCGCCGUGGAAUCACUGAGGAGGAGCGGUCCUCAGUCAAGCUCUCUUGAUAAGCUUUACUCACUACUGAACUCAUUUCAGAGAAAUGAAGCCACGUAGAUUGACAAUAUGUGUUGAUCAUACAGAAAAUAGAUGGAUUUUUUUCUUCCCCUUUUUCAUAUAUACAUGAGUAUAAAAUACAUUGUUUGAGACAUGAACAAUGUGUGUCAUACAUG